GACGAACGCUGGCGGCGUGCUUAACACAUGCAAGUCGAACGGAAAGGCCCUGCUUUUGUGGGGUGCUCGAGUGGCGAACGGGUGAGUAACACGUGAGUAACCUGCCCUUGACUUUGGGAUAACUUCAGGAAACUGGGGCUAAUACCGGAUAGGAGCUCCUGCUGCAUGGUGGGGGUUGGAAAGUUUCGGCGGUUGGGGAUGGACUCGCGGCUUAUCGGCUUGUUGGUGGGGUAGUGGCUUACCAAGGCUUUGACGGGUAGCCGGCCUGAGAGGGUGACCGGCCACAUUGGGACUGAGAUACGGCCCAGACUCCUACGGGAGGCAGCAGUGGGGAAUAUUGCACAAUGGGCGGAAGCCUGAUGCAGCAACGCCGCGUGCGGGAUGACGGCCUUCGGGUUGUAAACCGCUUUCGCCUGUGAUGAAGCGUGAGUGACGGUAAUGGGUAAAGAAGCACCGGCUAACUACGUG
rnacentral:rRNA from 1 species